rnacentral:lncRNA from 1 species
GAAUAAUUUAACUAAAAAGUAUGUGAAGUUUUAUGCAAUAAUUAUAGAUAGUUUCUGAGAUACGGCGCGACAUGUGAACCCCCACCCCCUUUUUGUCAUAAACUCAAUAACUCUAAAAUCAAAUUCUGAAUCAUUCUCAAAAGUAUAUACAAAUUCUUCAGAAUUAUAUAACCAAGAAGUGUGUAAAGUUUUGAGCAAUAGUCAUAAAACGUUUUCUAGAUACAGCGCGAACUGUAAAAAAAAACU